rnacentral:rRNA from 1 species
ACGAACGCUGGCGGCGUGCUUAACAAUGCAAGUCGUGGGCGGUAGCAAUACCGACCGGCGAACGGGUGCGUAACACGUGAGCAACCUACCGAUGUGUGGGGGAUAGCCGGCCCAACGGCCGGGGUAAUACCGCAUACGCUCGUGGAGUCUCCUGACUCUAUGAGGAAACCUUCGGGGCAGAUCGAGGGGCUCGCGGCCUAUCAGCUAGUUGGCGGGGUAAUGGCCCACCAAGGCGAUGACGGGUAGCUGGUCUGAGAGGAUGGCCAGCCACAUUGGGACUGAGAAACGGCCCAGACUCCUACGGGAGGGCAGCAGUGGGGAAUCUGCGCAAUGGGCGAAAGCCUGACGCAGCGACGCCGCGUGGGGGAUGAAGGGUUUCGACUUGUAAACCCCUGUUGCCCGGGACGAACUUCUCGAUUCGUCGAGAUUGACGGUACCGGGUGAGGAAGCACCGGCUAACUCCGUGCCAGCAGCCGCGGUAAUACGGAGGGUGCGAGCGUUGUCCGGAAUCACUGGGCGUAAAGGGCGCGUAGGUGGCGCUGCAAGUCAACGGUGAAAGCUCGACGCUUAACGUCGAGUCGGCCGUCGAAACUGCAGCGCUCGAGCACUGUAGAGGCUCAUGGAAUUCCGGUGUGUAGCGGUGGAAUGCGUAGAGAUCCGGAAGAACACCGGUGGCGAAGGCGGUGAGCUGGGCAGUUGCUGACACUGAUGCGCGACAGCGUGGGGAGCAAACAGGAUUAGAUACCCUGGUAGUCCACGCCGUAAACGAUGGGCACUAGAUGCUUGGGGGAGCGACCCCCUGAGUGUCGUCGCUAACGCAUUAAGUGCCCCGCCUGGGGAGUACGGCCGCAAGGCUGAAACUCAAAGGAAUUGACGGGGGCCCGCACAAGCGGUGGAGCAUGUGGUUUAAUUCGACGCAACGCGAAAGAACCUUACCUAGGCUUGACAUACACGGGAAAGCUCGCAGAAACGUGAGCCCCUCUUCGGAGUCCGUGUACAGGUGCUGCAUGGCUGUCGUCAGCUCGUGUCGUGAGAUGUUGGGUUAAGUCCCGCAACGAGCGCAACCCCCGCCCCCAGUUGCUAACGCGUCAUGGCGAGGACUCUGGGGGGACUGCCGAUGCCAAAUCGGAGGAAGGUGGGGACGACGUCAAGUCAUCAUGGUCCUUACGUCUAGGGCUACACACGUGCUACAAUGGCCGGUACAGUGGGUUGCAACCUCGCAAGAGUGAGCCAAUCCCCCCAAAGCCGGCCUCAGUGCGGAUUGGAGGCUGCAACUCGCCUCCAUGAAGCUGGAAUCGCUAGUAAUCGUGGAUCAGCUACGCCACGGUGAAUACGUUCCCGGGCCUUGUACACACCGCCCGUCACGCCAUGGAAGCUGUGAGCGCCCGAAGUCCGUGUCGGAACCGCAAGGACCAAGCGGCCGAAGGCGAGCGCAGUGACUGGGGCG